GCAGGUGUAGUUCAGUGGUAGAACGUAACCUUGCCAAGGUUAAUAUGCGGGUUCGAUUCCCGUCACCUGCUCCA
rnacentral:tRNA from 1 species